AGAGAGAGAGCUCGAGGCCAUGUGUGGAAGCAGAGGGGGGCAGAGAAGGAGAGAGAGAGAGGGAGCUGAAUCUUAAGCAGACUCUACGCUAAGCUUGGAGCUCCAUGUGCAGCUAGAUCCCACGACCCUGAGAUCAUGACCUGAGCAGAAACCAAGAGCUGGAUGUCCUGAACCACCCAGGACCCCCUAGGGCAUGAAAAAGGAAAGGAAAACAAUAGGCUUGUCAUGAAAGCGAAGAGGAUGAGAAUGAGAAUUUGAAAAUGUAGAGUUUACAGUAGAUUGGACCAAAAACAAUUACUUGCUCAGAUAGUCUGAGCAUGGAGGAUUCAGCUUCCAAAGAACAGUGAAACAAUACAUCCAGCGAUACCUGUCAAUGGCCCAUUCCUGUUUUUGGUGAGAAGCAAACACAUUUUGUCUACAGAGCAUCAACCAAAGAGUAGUUUCAAGCCUGUUUCUAGGUAAUGUUUGGCAUUAACAUUUGAUUGAUAGUUCUAACUAAAUGGCUAUUCCAAUUUUUUUAUCCUGAUUAAUUCUGUUUCUCCAUUUAAAUUCCUAUUCACCAUCUAUAUACUCUCAUUAUUUUAUUGCUUUACUCUUGGUAAAAUGAACAUUAGGAACUAUAACUCUUUCCUUGACUGAUUUUAAAUAAAUUAAUUAGA